GAUGAAGAACGUAGCGAAAUGCGAUAAGUAAUGUGAAUUGCAGAAUUCAGUGAAUCAUCGAAUCUUUGAACGCACCUUGCACCCUUUGGUAUUCCGAAGGGUAUGCUCGUUUGAGUUUCAUUGUACUCUCACACUUCUAAUUCCUUUCGGGAUUGGGAGCGGUGGACUUGGGUGUUGCUGCUUUAGUUGUGGCUCACCUCAAAUAAGUUAGUGCAACUCUUGGUUGGACAUAGUACGGCGUGAUAAGUGUCUUCGCCGGCGCCUCUGUAAGGAGGGUGGCCGAUCGGGAGCUCUGUGCUUCAAACCGUCUUCGGACAAUCUUUGACAACUUGACCUCAAAUCGAGUAGGACUACCCGCUGAACUUAAGCAUAUCAAUAAGCGGAGGA
rnacentral:misc_RNA from 1 species